UACGUAGGGGGCUAGCGUUGUCCGGAUUUAUUGGGCGUAAAGAGCGUGUAGGCGGCCAGGUAGGUCUGCUGUGAAAACUCGAGGCUCAACCUCGAGACGUCGGCGGAAACCAUCUGGCUAGAGUCCGGAAGAGGAGAGUGGAAUUCCUGGUGUAGCGGUGAAAUGCGCAGAUAUCAGGAGGAACACCGGUGGCGAAGGCGGUUCUCUGGGACUGUACUGACGCUGAGGAACGAAAGCGUGGGGAGCGAACAGG
rnacentral:rRNA from 1 species